UUAGUUUCACAGUCUAAAUUAGUUUCACUGAAGCUCCAAUGAUACAGAAGAUCAGCAGGGCCCCUGAGCAAGGAUGGCAUGUAGAUUUGUGAAGUAGUGCCUUGAAAA